UACUAUUUAUUAUAUAAUUUUUCCCGAAAGAAAUAGAUCUACACUGUAUAGAUUUGGUAGAAAUUGAAACACCAUAAUGUGGCAUUAUUAUGUAAAUAAAACAGUGUAGGGGUGAAACGCUUUCAAUUUUUCGGAUAUCUGGAUUAAACCUAAAUGAAUGUAGUUCAUAAAAUAACCAUAAAGUUAUAAGAUUUUAUGGGGGCAGAAUUUUUAAUAAAAUUACUCAGGGUGAAAUAAAGUUUUCCGGCUCAAAGUAAAAAAUAUAAUUUUUAUUUAGGUCAAUCUGUAGUUUUUAGGUUUAGGUUUUUAGUUAACAUCUUUUUCUUAAGUUAAUAAUGUUUAAAUUAGUAAUAUUUUAAAGUAAACUAAAGGAACUCGGCAAAUAAUGGUCCUCAACUAGUUUACCAAAAACAUAGCUUUAAGUUUAUAUUAUUUAAAGUUUAACCUGCCCAGUGAUGAGAGUUUUAACGGCCGCAGUACACUGACUGUGCUAAGGUAGCAUAAUAAAUUGACUUUUAAAUGGAGUCGGGUAUGAAAGGGUAACUGGGAACCUACUGUCUCAUUGUUUAUUUAAAUAAACUUACUUAUAAGGUGAAAAUUCCUUACUUCGCAUUAGUUAGACGAGAAGACCCUAAGAAUUAUAAUAAAAAAGAGGUUGAGUCUUAAAAUUUUUGUUGGGGCAACAAAUUCGGGGAAACCGGAUAAAAAUUAAAUAUGUUACAUGAAAUGCUUAAUUAGAAUGAAAUUAAUUACCUUAGGGAUAACAGCAUAAUUAUAUUUUUUAGAUUGUGACCUCGAUGUUGGACUAAGGACUUUAUUAAAUAGCCUUUAAUGAAGAUAGUUCUGUUCGAACUGAAAACCUUA
rnacentral:rRNA from 1 species